CACCGCGGUUAUACGAGAGGCCCAAGUUGAUAAACGCCGGCGUAAAAUGUGGCUAUAUACAGCAUUACACUAAAGCUAAACAUCUUCAAAGCUGUUAUACGCACCCGAAGACAGGAAACCCCUCCACGAAAGUGACUUUAAACAUAUUAGCCCACGAAAGCUAGGAAA
rnacentral:rRNA from 1 species